rnacentral:misc_RNA from 1 species
UGUGGGAGCUGGCUUGCCUGCGAUGCAAACGCCGCGGUCUUUGCCCAGACUGAGGUGAUGCUAUCGCAGGCAAGCCAGCUCCCACA